AGUGAACGCUGGCGGUAGGCCUAACACAUGCAAGUCGAACGGCAGCACAGUAAGAGCUUGCUCUUACGGGUGGCGAGUGGCGGACGGGUGAGGAAUACAUCGGAAUCUACUUUUUCGUGGGGGAUAACGUAGGGAAACUUACGCUAAUACCGCAUACGACCUACGGGUGAAAGCAGGGGAUCUUCGGACCUUGCGCGAUUGAAUGAGCCGAUGUCGGAUUAGCUAGUUGGCGGGGUAAAGGCCCACCAAGGCGACGAUCCGUAGCUGGUCUGAGAGGAUGAAUAGGCACACGGGAAGUGAGGAGGGGACGCGACGCCUGCGGGAUGCAGCAGUGGGGAAUAGUGGGGAAGGGGCUAGAGUCUGAUACAGCCAUAUGGGGGGAAAGAAGAAGGCCUUCGGGUUGGAAAGCCAUUUUGGUGGGAAAGAAAAAAAGCAGGAUAAGAACCCGAGGGUCUGAAGGUACCGAAAUAAGAAGCACCGGCUAACUUCGUG
rnacentral:rRNA from 1 species